AUUGUAACAUAUCUCUACACUGUCUAUAAAUACAACUACAUCUUUCUGCUCACUGCAAACAAAUACAUCCAUCUUCUAUAUUGAUCUUAUCAACUUGGUUUCCCUGCAAAACACAUAGCAAUGGCCGUUCUCAAAGUUGUGAUUGCUGCACUCUUUGUCUCUCUGUUUGUUCUCCAUCUUGUUCACGCAACAGAUAUGGGGAGCAACUCGGAGUCAUCAGUGACAAGUUAUCCGAAGGGAAAAAUGGAUUGUGGAGGAGCAUGCGCAGCAAGGUGCAUAUUAUCAUCUAGGCCGAGAUUGUGUAAGAGGGCUUGUGGAACAUGUUGCGCACGCUGUAACUGCGUCCCGGCAGGAACGUCCGGCAACUUGGACACUUGUGCUUGUUAUGCCAAUAUGACCACUCACAAUUAGGGCUGGCAAUAUCAGACACGACCCGAACUCGACCCGAACCCGACCCAAACCCGUAACCCGAUUUACUGAGACAAAAUCCGAAAGUGACCCGAAAAUCACCCGUUUUGACACGAAAUGGACCCGACAUGACCCGAAAUUCUAAUUUCGUUUCUAAUAACUUCAAUUUUCAGUUUUAUUCAAUUUAAAGUGAUUUUAGCUUGACCCGAAAUCGACUCGAAAUUGACCCGAUUGCAGACACGAACACGACCCGUUACCCGAAACUGCCACCCCUACUCACAAUAACAAGCGCAAGUGCCCCUAAACUCAACUUAUAUAAUUAAUCCCAAGUAAUUAGCUUAAUCUCCGAUGAUUAAUCGUCAAUAAAUGGGCUUUAUAGUUCAUACAUGUUUUCUUUCUUCCGGUGCUCUUGUUCAGUAUGUAUGUAUAUUCUAUUAAAGUUUUCAUUUGAUAAUUAUGUGCUAGCUAGCUACUAGCUAGCUCAUUUUGUAUUGUUUGUAAUCUAUUAAUAUUAUUAAUGAUAUAAAUGAUGAGCUUGUCAAAGUUAAA